CCUACGGGUGGCAGCAGUGAGGAAUAUUGGCCAAUGGGCGGGAGCCUGAACCAGCCAAGCCGCGUGAGGGAAGAAGGUACAGCGUAUCGUAAACCUCUUUUGUCAGGGAACAAAGGCGGGGACUAGUCCCCGGAUGAGGGUACCUGAAGAAAAAGCAUCGGCUAACUCCGUGCCAGCAGCCGCGGUAAUACGGAGGAUGCGAGCGUUAUCCGGAUUUAUUGGGUUUAAAGGGUGCGCAGGCGGCCUGUUAAGUCAGCGGGAAAAGCCCGGGGCUCACCCCCGGCGAGCCGUUGAAACUGGCGGGCUGGAGUUGGAGAGAGGUACGCGGAAUGCGCGGUGUAGCGGUGAAAUGCUUAGAUAUCGCGCAGAACCCCGAUUGCGAAGGCAGCGUACCGGCUCCACACUGACGCUGAGGCACGAAAGCGUGGGUAUCGAACAGGAUUAGAUACCCGAGUAGUC
rnacentral:rRNA from 1 species